GCAAAAUGUGGCAGCCCUGUCAGUGCAAGCUUUUUUAACGGACACUGUGACAGCAUGGGAAUGCUGAGAAGUGGAAACCUUGAUCUGUUCCAAAUUAGGCUU
rnacentral:lncRNA from 1 species